rnacentral:rRNA from 1 species
GACGAACGCUGGCGGCGUGCUUAACACAUGCAAGUCGAACGGAAAGGCCCUGCUUUUGUGGGGUGCUCGAGUGGCGAACGGGUGAGUAACACGUGAGUAACCUGCCCUUGACUUUGGGAUAACUUCAGGAAAUUGGGGCUAAUACCGGAUAGGAGCUCCUGCUGCAUGGUGGGGGUUGGAAAGUUUCGGCGGUUGGGGAUGGACUCGCGGCUUAUCAGCUUGUUGGUGGGGUAGUGGCUUACCAAGGCUUUGACGGGUAGCCGGCCUGAGAGGGUGACCGGCCACAUUGGGACUGAGAUACGGCCCAGACUCCUACGGGAGGCAGCAGUGGGGAAUAUUGCACAAUGGGCGGAAGCCUGAUGCAGCAACGCCGCGUGCGGGAUGACGGCCUUCGGGUUGUAAACCGCUUUCGCCUGUGACGAAGCGUGAGUGACGGUAAUGGGUAAAGAAACACCGGCUAACUACGU